rnacentral:ncRNA from 1 species
CACCGUGAGGUGGAAUCCGAAAGAAGCCGGAUGUGGGAACAGACUAACCAAGAGCAAAUCUCUGGCCUGACGAAUAGAAAUCACAUAAGGGCACGCAUGAGGGGAAGGCUGCCAUACAAGUCGAAGCCCAAUGCAGGAAUCAUGCGUGGCAGAUGUGGCAGGCAGAUGGAGGGAAAGAAAC